GAAGUUUAUAGUUCUUAUCUUGGCAAGUGAAGACACCCCUUUUUGGUGUGGGGUAGACACUGAAUUCCAUGUUAUAAUUCACAUGGUCUCUCUAUCAGUUAAAGCUAACUCCCACAAUAAUGAUGAAAUAAGGGCCGACUCUCCAAUUUCACAUCCCCGUGGCUAGUGAUCACUUUGGUAGUCUUGAGUAGUGGGCAUCUCGGGGUCCUAUACGCUAUGUCACAUGUAGAAUAUACUUUGGAUCGUGGCACCAACUUAUUAAUUCAAGACUUUUGGUAGUAUAUAUGCUUUGAAAAUCCUUGAACAAACUUUGUCAUAUUUGCAAGUUGUUCUUUCAUGAAUAAAGUAUUAAUUACCAUUACUUGCAUGAUAAUUGUGGAUGUAAGAGAGUAGCAUGACAAGUUACAAUAGUUGAUUUUCAAAGGACUCACUUACGAGAUGCGUGAGGAGAAGAUUCACUAUUAAAUUAUAGUUUUUCUUUGUGGUAGAGUUCUUAGUACCAGAACGCUCAAGUCGAGCUAAGGUAUUUUUGAUCUUUUCACCAAUACUUGUUUCUCCUUCUGAAGCAUUUGUGGAGGACCUUGAACCUUUUGGAGUUGAAGACUCAAACAUAAAAUUUGAUGUGGGCAACAUUUGAAGUGUUCAUUCUCGCAAUAAUUCUGAAACUUCCGAAAGUACCACCAAGAAUGUUGACUACUUCAGUUGAUCUAGAACUUGGAGUCAGUAGGCUCAGAGGUAGUUGAUUGUGGGUUGAAUUUUUUUGGAAGUAGUUUAAAUAUUCUUUGAUGCUUGAAAAGUUUAAAUAAGAGGUUGAGAUUGUUUCACUA